rnacentral:rRNA from 1 species
AUGGCGACUCCGACACAAGCUUGUGCCUCUUCCCGCCUCCUUCAGUCUGGACCUCAUCACCAGUCCAUCCUCCUCACGACCGCUCUCUCGUUCGUGCCAAAGUAUGGGUUGCAGGUGCGCCGUCAUGGAACAAGAAAGCCUCCUCGCGUCAGCUUCGUCUGCUCGGCCGAGCAGGCCUUCAGGCGUCCUUCCACUCAACCAGGUACGUCUUCUUCUGCAUGUGUGGAGGCGAUAUUAGCAGGAGAAAAUAUAGGCCUGCGCAAUGUGGAACGGGAUGCUAGAAUACGGAAGCAUCUGAAAAAACCUGAACUGUCACCAUCUGCGUAUGACACGGCAUGGGUGGCUAUGGUGCCAUUGCCGGACUCCGCUCCGCAGGCUCCAUGCUUUCCUCAGUGCGUUGAAUGGAUAUUGCAAAAUCAACACUGUAGUGGUUAUUGGGGUAUCAACAAAUUUGGCUUAUUACCCAACAAAGAUAUUCUCUUGUCAACAUUGGCAUGUAUCAUUGCACUUAAGAAAUGGAACGUUGGCUCCGACCACAUAAGUAGAGGAAUAGAAUUUAUUGGGAAGAAUAUCUCCACUGUAAUGGAUGAACAGAUUGUUUCCCCUAUAGGCUUCAGUCUAAUUUUCCCUGGUAUGCUUAACCAUGCUAUCGGGAUGGGUCUGGAAUUUCCAGUCAAAGAAAAUGUUAUCAGUGGGAUACUUCACCUCCGUGAGAUGGAGCUGACAAGACUGGCUGGGGAGAAAUCUUGUGGGAAAGAAGCAUAUUUGGCCUAUGUUGCACAAGAAGGGUUAGUAAGCCAGCUGGACUGCAAUGAAGUUAUGAACUUCCAGAGAAAGAAUGGGUCCUUGUUCAACUCUCCUGCCGCAACUGCUGCUGCAUUAGUCCACCGCUACGAUGAUAAAGCUCUCCAAUACCUCGAUUCCAUUGUCAAUAUUUAUGGCAGUGCAGUACCAACAGUGUACCCACAGAAUAUAUAUUAUCAGCUCUCAAUGGUGGAUGCGCUCAAAAAGAUUGGAAUAUCUCGGCAUUUUUCCAGUGAAAUAAACAGCAUCCUGGAUAAGGCAUACAUUUCCUGGUUACAGAGAGAUGACGAAAUAAUGCUAGAUGUAGAAACAUGUGCAAUGGCGUUUCGCCUUUUACGGAUGAAUGGAUAUGAUGUUUCGUCAGACGAGUUGUCCCAUGUUGCUGAAGCCUCCACUUUCCAUAGCUCACUUGAAGGAUAUUUAAAUGAUACAAAAUCUUUAUUAGAGUUAUAUAAGGCUUCAAAAGUAUGCUUGUCAGAACAUGAAUUGAUCCUGGAGAACAUAAGUAACUGGUCAGGCCGUUUAUUGACAGAGAAGUUGUGCUGUGAUGGGACAGAUAGAAUGCGAAUUUUCGGAGAGGUGGAAUAUACUCUUAAGUUUCCAUUUUAUGCAACAGUGGAACCGCUAGACCAUAAGACUAACAUUGAACAUUUUGAUUCUAGGGUUUUUACGCAGUUAAAGACAAAAAAUGUGCCGUCUCAUGUCAAUGAAGAUCUUCUAGACUUUGCGGUUGAAGAUUUCAGUUUCUCUCAAUCUAUAUAUCAGGAUGAACUUGGCCACAUCGAGAGUUGGGAGAAAGAAAACAGGCUGGACCAGCUAAAAUUUCUACGCAAGGGGACUCUGAUAAAUUGUUAUCUCUCUGCUGCUGCCACCAUAUCCACUCACGAACUCUCUGAUGCACGCAUUACAUGUGCAAAAACUAUUGCACUCGUAGUUGUUGCUGAUGACUUCUUUGAUGUUGGAGCAUCAAAAGAAGAACAAGAAAACCUCAUAGCAUUAAUAGAGAAGUGGGAUCAACAUCACCAAGUUGAGUUCUACUCUGAGCAAGUAGAAGUAGUAUUUUCUGCUUUCUAUACUACAGUUAACCAGAUUGGAGAAAUGGCUUCUGCUGUGCAAAAGUGUGAUAUAACAAAGCACCUGGUUGAAACAUGGCUACAUUACUUGAGAUCUGUGGCAACCGAGGCAGAAUGGCAACGGAAUCAAUAUGUGCCAACAGUUGAGGAAUACAUGACAGAAGGGGCUACUUCAUAUGCAAUGGGCCCCAUUAUGCUCACCUCGCUGUAUUUUGUCCAACAAAACCUCAAAGAGUACAUUAUCAAAAGCCCAGAAUACAAUGAGUUGGUUAGACUAAAGGGCACCUGUGGCCGUCUCCUGAAUGAUACCCGAAGCUUCGAGAGGGAGUCCAGUGAUGGAAAACUGAACAUCAUCUCACUGCUUGUUCUUCACAGUGGAGGUUCCAUGUCCAUUGAAGCUGCUCAAGAGGUGAUACAAGAGUCAAUAGCCACGUGUCGGAAAGACCUACUAAGGGUGGUCGUUAGAGAAGACCGUGUUGUCCCGAGGCCAUGCAAGGAGAUGUUCUGGAGGUUUUGUAGGACAAGUCACUUGUUCUACUCUCAGACCGAUGGAUUUUCCUCGCCCAAGGAAAUGCUCCACACGAUGAACGCAAUUUUCAGAGAACCACUCAAACUCCAAACUUCCGGUUCUUCAUUCGUUGUUCAACCAGACAAAUAA